AAAAAUUCUUAUUCAUUCUUCACAAAGUUAUACCCAACACAAGCUCCUGGGUUUACGAGUAGCGACAGAUAAAUAUAUAGUUUUGGUUGUCAGCUGACAAACAUACAUUACAUACAUUAUAUCAUAAGAAACAAAAGCCAAAAAAUAAAAUGCAAAAAUACAGAAUUCUUUCAGAAUUGGUAGAAAGGAAGAACAAGGGUUCAAAACUAUGCAAAACUGAUAAUGUACACAUUUCACAUGGCACAAUACAUGUAAUUUGUCCCGCUCAUGUAUGUAUUUUUCAAAUUGAAUUAGAUGCUAAUAUUUCUUUUCCCUAACUCUUCACUAUAUACGUAAACAAAUUACUGGACUCAUUUCCUAAAGGACAAAAAAAUUGUUGCAAGAAGCAUGCAUCUUGCUCAUGUUAAUUGAGUCUGGCCUUCUUCUCAGCCGCCUUCUCACAGAUGAAAAUUGCCCAUCUGAUGGAAAGCUUGUGAUCGGCCACAUAAGAACAAAGAGAAAUCCGUAAGUUCUUAUUUUGAUGUAGAAAAAGAAUUCCACAGUAUGGCCACUGGCUGAUGCUGUGAUGCGACAGGGGAAAGCCACAUCACUCAGUUUUCAAUCAGCUGCUCUUCUCCAGGCAAAAGCUACAACUACUUUAUCCCUGAUGACAAAUUCUAUCUUGGAGGAAAACCGGUUUGACGCAUCCGAAAGGGUCUCUCAUUACUAUGACGCCUACCAUCCAAUGGUGCAGCCCCAAGAAUCCCCAGUGAAUUAGGAUCCGUUAAACGGGUACCAUUACUCAUAGGUCUUUGCAAGGGGGGUUGAAGUUGGGGGUGCGUAUCAGCUUCAGCUCUUCUCCGCCGUUUCCAUGCUUCAAAUUUCCCAUUAUCAUGGCCCUUCUGAAUUGAUUCUGACAGUUGAUAGGCAUUCACAUUUUUAUACCCUCUUUGCCUCCCAAUAUGGCGUGUCAGAGGAAAAUAAUUGGCAUCACCAUCUUUGUCCAAUGGACCAGAUGCAAAGCCAUUCACAUGGGAGGGUCCAACCCCCGCUUCCUCUUCUUGCUCCUGCUUAAGUUUAGAAUAUAUCUGAUGAAGCCUCUCCCCUGAUAAAUUUGAAAAGGUAGAAACAUACUUCCAUAAUCUCAUAGUCAUCCUAUCUUGUCGAUAAAGCUGUUCCUGAUACUCUAAGACAAUUUGGUCUAUCCUCCGCCCAAUAAGCUGUAGGUAAUUCCGAAUCUUCGAAAGAACCUUUUCCUUUGGAAGGUCAGCACUGGUAGUCUGAAGCCUUUGAAGGCGUCUAAGGGUUUUAAUUUCAUAAACCAUGACAUCUUCACACCAUUCCAUCCAUUUCACUUCCUUAAACUGCUCACAUAAUUCCUCAUUGUCUGACAUUUCACCCUCUUCCUUGACCAACUGUUCAGCUCUCUGAGGUUUCUGAUGUCGAUUUUUGUGCACAUGGACACCAAUCAAUGCAGAACUAGGUUUUCCUUUCUUGACCUUGCUGCGAGAUACCGGGUUGUUGAAAACGUUGUCCUUCUGCUUCUUGGAGGCCUUACGACCCACCUUAGCAUUGGCAUUCUUUCCACCAACAGCAACAAGUUCCAUUUCCAGAAGUGCAUUAGCACGGUCCCUCAAAUUUGGAGCACGUGGCAGGAAGGUCUCAUGGUGUUGUAGUUCCACUGGAGCAAUCUUCUUUGAAAGGCCAAGCCUUUCAUCUAACCUUAUCUUUUCCCAAUUGCCAAAUCCGUGAUAGUGUACUCCCAAAAGAAAUCUUGCAUCAUCAAUCUGAUUCCAGCCACAGCCCUUAGACCAAUUUGAAGGUUUGAGAUACAUUAAAACUCGAAAUUGUGCAAUGGGGUUCUCAUAUCGACUAAUUCGCUUUGCUAGUAGCUGAAGUUGUUGAACACGGUUCAGUAGAUCAUUAGCCUUCACAGGGACACCAAAAAAGUCCAACAAAGGACCCUUUGGAUCCACAUUUUCUCCAUCAACUGCUUCUUUGCAACCAUCUAUAAGAGCAUCAAAAAGCUCAAUCUGUGCAUGAGGUGGAGCUGCUGCCACUGAGCCACCAACGUCCGCAACUAUUAAGUCUAUUUGGUUUGCAUUCCCAAAUUUCACAACCGCACGAGAAAAACGUAAUGCAUCUCUCUUAGACAGAUUCCCAUGAGACCAUUCUCUCACUUGGGCAGAUGCUCCAUCAAUCAUAGGGACUGAAAGAGCAGAAUAAUCUGCCUUGCGACGUUUCUUCUCUCGCUCCUGUGGUUCCAGAAGCUCAGAAUUUUUCUUUUUCCUUUUGUUACUUCUCUCAGAUUGGUUGGCCUCAGCAUAACUCUUGUUGAUCCUUGCAGCACGAGGGGCCAAUGCUUGUUCAGCUUGGGAUAUUGCUUCAGGUUUUAUCCAACGACUCCAAAAACUCCCAUCAUCUUCAGCACUACAGAAAUUGGCAACCUUAAAAGCACUCAACAAUUCAUGCCCUUCCUCUCCUUCAGCUUCCUUCUCUUCAACUUUCUCUGCUCUUUCAAGAAUUUCAUCAAUAUCCAUACUUAAUAGUCUCUUCUUGCUUUCUUCUUCAUUUCUAUCCUCUUUAAAAAGUUCCUCUGCACCAAACCUUAAAAUUGCAGACAACUCAUUUUUGUCAAAGUUACUCCCUUUUUUCGCUUCUUUCUUUUCCAAUCUACCCUCCGCAUUUAAUUUUUGGAUCACCAAAUGAUCAAGAACCAUCUUUUUCUUGGCUCGCUCCAAGAUAUCCUCCUCAACACUUUUGCUUGUGACAAAUCUGUAUAUGUUAACUACUUCUUGUUGCCCAAUCCUAUGAGCUCUACUCAUUGCCUGUAAGUCAUUUUGGGGAUUCCAGUCUGAAUCAAAUAUUAUAACUGUGUCAGCUGUAGCAAGAUUGAUGCCUAGGCCACCAGCCCGAGUUGAAAGGAGGAAGCAGAAAUCAUCACUGCCAGGUGCAUUGAAGUGAUCCAUAGCCUGCUGACGCAACUCAGCCUUUGUACUACCAUCAAGCCUUUGAAAUUGGAAUCCCCUUAACGACAUAUAUUCUGCCAGUAUAUCCAACAUUCUGACCAUCUACAACAAUUUACCAACAUAGCAUUUAAUUAACCACUUAAUACAACAAGAUGGAUCUACUUGUAUACUAAGAGAAAGAUCCAAGAGAUAAACAACAAUCACACAAAAAUCAUAAAACGUGUUAAAUCACAUCAUUGCUCAUUCAUUAAGUUUUUAAAAAGUUAGACAUGAAGGCUAGCUUUUAGCACUUGUGCAAAAAUUUUGGUAUACAAAGAUACAGAUACACUAGAAAAUGAAAAAGAAGAUGCAGCACAGAAAUUUAACAUAAGCUGAUCUCAUCAUGGCUGUACACCACUCAAGAAACUUCAGUUGCAGAAAGCAAUCUGGUCAGCUACCUGGCAGUGACUCCAGUGAGAACUUAUCUAUCAUGUUGCCGUCCAUAAUUCGUUACUGGAAUUUGACUAAAUCAAGAAUAAAUCACACAUGCCAAAUUGGAGUGUGCAGUUCAAACUAUUGUUCUACUACAGGAGUAUUAUGAAUAUACUUAGCUUAUCUAUUUGUAACAAAGAAGAGCUGACAUGGAAAAAAGAAAGCUUAUAUUCUUUAUAGCUUAAGGCACCCUAUUCCCAUAUCUGCUAAAAUGCUUCCCAGACAAACCUGGGAAAAAAUCAGAACACGAUGUUUUGUGGCAUGCAACCUGACAAGUAACUUGUCAAGUAUAACCAGCUUUCCACUGCUCAAGAUAAUUCUUUCCAACUUGCUGCUAUCAUUAAUGCCAGAAUCCCCACCAUAACCAUGAUCUGCACUUUCAAAAAGGAAGGGAUGAUUGCAGCAUUUCUUCAAUUCUACUACAAUAUUUAAAAGUGAAACCUGAUUCCCACGAACUCCUUUAUUCAGGUCAUGAAAGUUGCGUUCCAAAAUCCAUUUAUAGUACUGUUUCUGGAGUGGCGACAUCUCAACCCUCAGAACACGCUCAAUCUUUGGUGGCAAGGAUUUCUCUACAUCCUUGAUAACUCUUCUGAGAAUGUGAGGCCUCAAUUCCAUAUGCAGAUUGGCAAGCUCAAUUUCGUUAAAAGAGCUAAGGUUCUUGUAAUUCUGAACGAAAUCAUCCUUGCUCCUAAACUUAUCAGGAUCAAGGAAGUGAAGCAGAGCCCAUAGCUCUUCCACGCUGUUCUGUAAUGGAGUGCCAGUAAUCAACAACUUGUUCUUGGUGCUAAAUUCCGAUAGAGUUGUAUACAACUGUGCCUCACUAUUUUUUAACCUAUGAGCUUCAUCAACCAUGAGAUAAUUCCACUUGAUCUUCGACAGAACUGCCUUAUCCUUCAGAACAACUUCAUAUGUAGUCAAUAGUGCAUUAAAUUUUAUAGAUCGCCCAACUUUUUUAUCAUUGUAGAAUUCAUAUUGCUGGCAAACCUCUCUGCUCGCACGUGUACCAACAUACACAAUAACAUUCAUGUCAGGAAGCCACUUCCUAAAUUCUUUAGCCCAGUUGGACAAAGUGGAUAAUGGAACAACAACAAGAAAUGGCCCUGGGAUUUGCUGUGCAUUCUGUAAAAAACCAAGCAUGGAAACAGACUGAACUGUUUUUCCAAGACCCAUCUCAUCAGCUAAAAUGACAUUUGUAUCAUUUCUCCAACUAUUAACAAGAAAAUUCAAACCCUCUAGCUGAUAAUCACGAAGCUUUCCUCCUCUCAACCAUUCUGGCUGUUCAUCAAGCUUCCUUAAACUUGCUUUGCCUUUCUUGCGCUGGAGAUCCACCAUUUUCCCUUGUACAGCCAUUGCAGCCUCACGUGCCUUGUAUUCAUCAAUUGCAUCUUGAGCAAAUUCUAUAUCUAUAUCCUUCUCCCAGGUUGCUUCGGCAUAAGAUAGUCCUUGCCACUUGACUAAGUACUCUGGUACAAUAUUCCCAGAGCUAUCAUUACUGAUUCGAUCAGAAAUAAUUCUCUCCACCUGACUAUUUUGCUUGAUUAGAUCCAAAUCCAUUUCUUUACUCACAUCAUUGACCUCAAUCUCCUCACGUGUAAGCCUUCUCCGAUACUUCACAUCUUCAUUAACUUUCUUGGUGUAGUUCAAUACCUUCUUAAAACCACUCAGAUUUUGUAAUUCUGCAAAAGAUUUCCACUGACAGUGCAAAUGUGACUGGCCUUUCCAUUUGAUUAGAAACUCCAUUUCAUUCCAAUCUAGUUCAGAAUCAAACAAGUGGCUUAACAGAACGGGCUCUGUUGAUUGAUUGUUCCUUAAAGCGUCUUCAGCCAUGCCCUUUGGCUGAUGCCACAGCACUCUUUCAACGAUGUCACCAUCUUCCUCUUCAAUUUCUUCCUUCUGGGGCUUUUUCUUUUUCCCUUCAUCUAUUUCAUCACUUUCUUCACUUUCAACAUAUGAUACCUUUCGAACUGACCUACUAGAUGUUCGAACCUCAUUAUUUCGGCCACUGAUAGCCAUCGACAUAGCCGAUCUAGCAUUAGAUUUGUGGUUAUGCACUCUCCUUGUCAUUUUCUUAAUGUCUCCAUCACUGUCACUGUCAGAGUCCUCUGCUGUAUACUCAUCCUCUUCAAAUGAUGUUUUUCCUCUCUUUUGUCGACUUGAAGCAUGUAAUGACUUGCUUUCUCUAGUAUAUUUUAUAUUACAUAUGCCUUUACCUUGUUGCCUACCCUUGGACUUUUUCACGUAGUAUGAAUCAUCUUCAUCUGAGACAUCAAUAUCAUCAUCAAUAUAGUCAUCUUCAUCUGAAUCCUCACCAUCCCAGUCUUUAUCCUUGUUCCCUGCAUGGCCACUAGCAACGCCAUAAUCAGGGUCAAAGUCUGCAUCAUCAGGAUCAUCCUCAUCUUCCUCAUCCUCUUCUUCAUAAUCAGCAUCGCCAUCAUCAUUAUUGUAGUCAUAAUCGUCAUCUUCAUUGUUGCCUAAAGCUCUUGAACUCCUAGAGGAAUUAUUAUUAGCAGGUAUAGGUUUUGAAUGCGCCCUAGAAAUCAACCCAGUUGAGUGGUUAAAUCCUCUAUAAUGCAUAGAAUCACUUUGAUCUUCCCCAUCCUGCUCAUAGUAUUCAUCAGACAACAUUUCAUCUGCAGGUACAUCUGAGAAGCCCUUUUGCCCCUUACCAGCUUCUUUUUGUCCAUCAUCAUCUUCCGACUCUAAUCUAUCAUCCCUUCCAUCUGAUACAUUAUCCUCUGACCCUUCUACAUUUUUAUAGUCUGAUUUUGAAUCAUGACCAGAAUCAGAUGCUGCUUGAGCACCCAUAGGUUGGCAGUCCUUCCAAAAAGUUGAACCCCAUUUUCCAGCUGCAUUUCUCCUUCCUGAAGACUGAACGUGUGAAUUGCUUACCCCAAUUCCAUUGUCAGCAGCUGCAUCACCCUGCAUCCUACCAGCAUCUUCCCCUUCACUCUCAUAUUGUGCAUCCAUAUUGAUAUUGAAUUCUCUCUCAAUUGAAGUAACAUCUAUAUCUUCAUUCCCCGCCAUUCUACCAAUUCGCUGUCCCUGUGCUUUUUCUUCCAGUACACCAUGUGAAACAGUUUGGUUUGAAUAGUUUCUAAAAAAAGCCAUCCUCUCACAUGGAAUUUCUGCAAAAAUUACUUCCGGCCUCUUGCUAUCAGAUAUAUGUUUUGUGGACACAAUGUAGCAGGUAGGUUCUUCUUGUCAGUCUCCUGCAACCUCUCCAGAAGCUUAUGAUGCUUUCCACUCGCCGGUAAAACAAUCGCCGGCGGCUAAAAUUUUUUUCAAAAAAAGGAAAAAAAACGAAGUCGUUUCGUGUUCCGGGUUUCGGUUUCUUAAAGGAUUCGGGUUUGGACUAUAAGUUGAGGUGUCGGCGGAGGAGGUAGCUAGUAUACGCCGGACUGUGACUUCACCGUCAUUCCGAUUUGAGCGGAAGACGACGAGGCGAAUUUGGAUUAAUCGUCAAAUGGUACCCGUCAGAGGAGAGAGAAAGACAAAACACACGCGCCCAAAUUUUUUUAGAGAGAAAAAAAAAGAAAAAGAGCUUCUGUUUUCUAGAGACGAGUUUCGUCGAAGAAAAAAUUCGGGCUUUA
rnacentral:misc_RNA from 1 species